rnacentral:rRNA from 1 species
UACGAAGGGGGCGAGCGUUGCUCGGAAUCACUGGGCGUAAAGCGCACGUAGGCGGAUUGCUAAGUCAGGGGUGAAAUCCUGGAGCUCAACUCCAGAACUGCCCUUGAUACUGGCGGUCUCGAGUCCGGGAGAGGUGAGUGGAACUGCGAGUGUAGAGGUGAAAUUCGUAGAUAUUCGCAAGAACACCAGUGGCGAAGGCGGCUCACUGGCCCGGUACUGACGCUGAGGUGCGAAAGCGUGGGGAGCAAACAGG